rnacentral:rRNA from 1 species
AUGGCAGCAGUGGGGAAUUUUGGACAAUGGGGGCAACCCUGAUGCAGCGACGCCGCGUGAGCGAUGAAGCCCUUCGGGGUGUAAAGCUCUUUCGACAGGAACGAUUAUGACGGUACCUGGAGAAGAAGCUGCGGCUAACUACGUGCCAGCAGCCGCGGUAAUACGUAGGCAGCAAGCGUUGUUCGGAGUUACUGGGCGUAAAGAGUGUGUAGGCGGUUCGCUAAGUCUGGUGUGAAAUCUCCCGGCUUAACUGGGAGGGUGCGCCGGAAACUGGCGGGCUAGAGUAUGGGAGAGGGAAGCGGAAUUCCUGGUGUAGCGGUGAAAUGCGUAGAUAUCAGGAGGAAUACCGGAGGCGAAGGCGGCUAUCUGGCCCAACACUGACACUCAGACCCGAAAGCGUGGGGAUCAAACAGGAUUAGAUACCCUGGUAGUCCACGCUGUAAACGAUGGACACUUGUUGUUGGAGGUAUUGACCCCUUCAGUGACGAAGCUAACGCGUUAAGUGUCCCGCCUGGGGAGUACGGUCGCAAGAUUAAAACUCAAAGAAAUUGACGGGGGCCCGCACAAGCGGUGGAACAUGUGGUUUAAUUCGAUGCAACGCGAAGAACCUUACCUGGGCUUGACAUGAACUGGAAGGGUGGCAGAAAUGUCCCCGCCCGCAAGGGCCGGUUCACAGGUGCUGCAUGGCUGUCGUCAGCUCGUGUCGUGAGAUGUUGGGUUAAGUCCCGCAACGAGCGCAACCCUUAUCAAUAGUUGCCAGCGGUUCGGCCGGGCACUCUAUUGAGACUGCCGUUGACAAAACGGAGGAAGGUGGGGAUGACGUCAAGUCCUCAUGGCCUUUAUGUCCAGGGCUACACACGUGCUACAAUGGCGAGUACAAAGCGCUGCAAACCUGCAAGGGGGAGCCAAUCGCAAAAAGCUCGUCUCAGUUCGGAUUGGAGUCUGCAACUCGACUCCAUGA